rnacentral:rRNA from 1 species
CAUGCCGUAAACGGUGGGCGCUAGGUGUAGGGGGCUUCCACGUCUUCUGUGCCGUAGCUAACGCAUUAAGCGCCCCGCCUGGGGAGUACGGCCGCAAGGCUAAAACUCAAAGGAAUUGACGGGGGCCCGCACAAGCGGCGGAGCAUGUGGAUUAAUUCGAUGCAACGCGAAGAACCUUACCUGGGCUUGACAUAUACAGGAUUGGGCUAGAGAUAGUUCGUCCCUUGUGGUCUGUAUACAGGUGG